rnacentral:rRNA from 1 species
AACGAACGCUGGCGGCAUGCCUAACACAUGCAAGUCGAACGAGACCUUCGGGUCUAGUGGCGCACGGGUGCGUAACGCGUGGGGAUCUGCCCUUUGCUUCGGAAUAACAGUUAGAAAUGACUGCUAAUACCGGAUGAUGUCGUAAGACCAAAGAUUUAUCGGCAAAGGAUGAACCCGCGUAGGAUUAGCUAGUUGGUGGGGUAAAGGCCUACCAAGGCGACGAUCCUUAGCUGGUCUGAGAGGAUGAUCAGCCACACUGGGACUGAGACACGGCCCAGACUCCUACGGGAGGCAGCAGUGGGGAA